UUUCGGAGAGUUUGAUCCUGGCUCAGGACGAACGCUGGCGGCGUGCCUAAUACAUGCAAGUCGAGCGGACUGAUGGGAGCUUGCUCCCUGAAGUCAGCGGCGGACGGGUGAGUAACACGUGGGUAACCUGCCUGUAAGACUGGGAUAACUCCGGGAAACCGGGGCUAAUACCGGAUAGUUCUUUUCCUCGCAUGAGGAAAAGUGGAAAGGCGGCUUCGGCUGCCACUUACAGAUGGACCCGCGGCGCAUUAGCUA
rnacentral:rRNA from 1 species